AACUGAAUCAUCAUUAUUAUUGCUAUUACUGUAUUUCAAUUGUAGAUAUUUUUACAUUUUCUUUUCUCUAUUAUCUUUGUCUCACUCAUGAAAUUAAUAUCUUUGCUGAAUUUUCAUUCAGUUCUUUUUUAAAUAUCAAGCUAGUAAACCUGCACUUUUGCUAAUUGAUUUUUUAAUUAUUAAAUUAUAUAUAUUUUAAAACAGCUAUUUUGUUACUUGAAAAUGUUGUUUGUUGUAAAUCAUACUAUGUAUAGUGCUUUGAUUCCAUUAUAUAGUAUGAUGUUAGACCCCCAAUCCGUUUUACCUUCUCUAGGAGGAGGACCACUUAAUUUGCCCAGAAAUAAAUCAAUAAUUUUGCAUAAACAUUUGCAGUAGCUGUUUAUUUCUCUAUCGAUUCCUCUAAUUAUGUAUGUGGGACACACAAUAUCUCUUUUUCUAAAUUUGUAAGUAAAGACAUAUUCUAGUUUCGUUCAUAAUAAGUAAAUUUUCUUCUGAUUUCUGUUUUUUCAUUCUUAACUUUUUUUGCUUUGUUCAUUUUGAAAUCAAAUCGUCUUCUACGCCUUUCCAGUUCUCAGAACCAAAUCGGCUUUGUCUUCUUCUCUCCUGUGACUCACUCUUUUGAUCUUAAGGGAACGCAAAAAAAGAAAAGAAAGAAAAACGACUCCAGCUCUUCCUUGGUGACACAAUCUUGAUUAAGUGCUUUGAGGUUUUGGGCUUGGUCUGGGUGGCUCUGUGAUUUUUGAACUAGGCUUGGCGGCUUUAACACUUUUGGAAUUUAGCCUUGGAAGCCUUGAGAAUUUUAGUCAUGGCACCUGGUCGUCGCACCACUCGAUCUACUGCUCAAAGUCAACAAGUUGAACCAGUCAUUGAUCCUCCUGCUCCACCUUCACAAGGUGUUCGCACUACUCGGUCGAGUAUAGAGAAUCAACAAGUUGAACCAGUCAUUGAUCCUCCUGCUCCACCUACACAAGUUACUCGCACUACUCGGUCGAGUUUAGAGAAUCAACAAGUUUGUCGCACCACUCGAUCUACGGUACUCAGUCAACGACCUAGAACCACCGCACAAUCUAAUGUAGAGAGAGAACACCCUCAAGGCUCCACACACCCUACUGUAUAGGGUGAACAAGUCAAUGUGACGACCCAUUUUGAUACCGAAGAUGAUAAUCAAUCUUCCCAAGUUCCAUCAGGUAAAUUUAAUGUCUUUCAUGUUCAUUUCUUUAAAUUUCUAUUUAUUUUAAUUAAG